rnacentral:misc_RNA from 1 species
GAAGAAACCAAUAUAUUCCAUAAGGUGUAAGGUGACCUGAAUUCAAAACUUUAACCUCUUUUAUGGGCAGUACAUAAUUGCAGAACCAAGAAGAAGGUUAUCAUAGCUUUUGAGGCAUCUGUCUCUCCUAUUGUUUUUCAGUAUUUGCCGCUUCCGAUCCAGACAAGAACAAUAGUCACAGUCAGUAUUUAGCAGUGUGUUACCACCCAAUAUCACUCCAAAAGCUAAAAUGCUCUGAGCACUUGAAAACAAAACAAGACCACCACAAUCAACACCCUAUCUGUGGCCACUAGCAUCCUUACAUUUCUUUAACAACAAAGAGAUUAGGUAUGUCCCACACACUCAUAGACAAAUAGCAUCCCAUGAGGCUAGGAUCAAAGAUCAAACACCAUCAUCUCUUCCCUGUCAUUUUCAAUGGGAUAAAAUCCCACAUCCUAAACUUUUCUUUCACGCCUGUCCACCGCCAGCUAUUGCUUGAAAAUGUAAAGAUUAUAUUGAUUCCCUUCCUGUCUCUUUGCCUUGCUAUUUUUCCUCUUUUCACUCGGUUUCCUCGUGUUGCAAUCUUGUCCUUAAAAACCUUAGUGCAUAUUUACAACCACCAUGUGAACUUGGACGUUCAAUAAUUUUGUUCCCCACACUCCACAUCGAGAAAAAUAGAUGCAAACCCAAUUUAGAUCAAGAGUGGAUGAUUUCAAAUUGCCAAGAAUUUAUUACCUUUUAAGUUUGGAUGGUGAACUAUAAUCCCCACAGCACGUUAUUAGUCUGAGGUCUACAUCUCACAGACAAUAGGUCCAUUACUUUUCGAACAUGCAUGAGUGGCGUUGUAAUGGAAUCAUAAAACCCUCCAUUCAUCAUUGUGGGGAAAUAUUUAAAGGAUUCCAUGCAAGAUUUGAUAGAUAAUGGAGAUUUGGACAUAUUUGUUUUAGCACAUAUCCAUUUGUACAUCAAAAUGUAGGGUCUGUCUUUUGAGUUUUGACACCUUUCUUUCUCCAUUAUUUUCCAACAUUAGGCAUCUUUCCUUCCAUCCCAACACUUUCAUCAAAGUGGAAGAGAAACUGAUGCACGAGGUAUGCUUCCAGGAAUCUGUCCCUUCUUUUGGUAAAUACAUAAUCACUAUAUUUCACUCCUGCAACUAAUUGUCAUAAUCGUUUUCCUUGGAAAGAUUCAUAGGAUCAGAAUAUAUGGUAAAAAAAAAUAUAAUUAGAUAAUACACAAUACUAUACUAUACCAUGGCAUUAAAACAAAAAAAAAAAUACUCAAAAAUCACAAGGGGUAUGUGGGAAUAUACUCCUCUUACUGCUGCUGCUUUCUCUUGAUCUCAUUAGCCUUCCCUCUCUUCGUCGUCCUUCUGUCUAGCAGAGGAACUUGAUCCUGAAGUCAUUCCAAUGACUUGGCUAUGUGUAAACCUUUGUAACUGUAUCAUACGAGCAUAACAUCCAUCAGGAUAAUUUUUCAAUAGAUGAGAGUGGGAUCCUUGCUCUGCUACUUUCCCAUCGUCGAUCACAGCAAUGACGUGGGCAUUUCUAAUAGUUGAUAGUCUGUGUGCAACCACAAUCGUGGUCUUUCCCGAACAAGCACGGUCUAGAGCCUCCUGGACAGACCUCUCAGACUCAGCAUCUAGCGCACUUGUUGCCUCAUCAAGUAGCAUAAGUUCUGCCCUUCUUACAAGAGCCCGAGCUAUGGCAAUUCUCUGCUUCUGUCCACCGGAUAACUGCACUCCCCUCUCCCCUACAAAUGUUUUGUACCCAUCUGGCAAUCCUGAUAUGAAUUUAUGAGCAUUGGCUAAAGUAGCAGCUUCAAUGAUUUCUGCCUCUGUUGCUGAUUCAUGACCGUAGGCAAUGUUUUCGUAAAUGGUAGCUGCAAAGAGACAUGGCUCCUGAGGGACCAUGGCAAUGUGCUUUCUCAGGGACUUGAGGUUGUAUUUUCGAAUGUCCUUCCCAUCAAUCAUAACCCUUCCUGAUGAUGGCUCAUAGAAACGCUGUAUAAGUGCAAUGACUGAGCUCUUACCACAUCCACUUGGACCUACAAGGGCUAGAGUUUUUCCAGCUCUUGCACGAAGAUUGAGAUCACGGAAAAUUGGGACAUCAGGGCGAGUUGGAUAAGAGAAGUCUACGUGCUUUAGUUCAACUUCUCCACGAAGACGGUCAGGAACUUCGGUGGCAUCUGGAUCAUCAGGUUCAAUUUCUGUUUUGCGGUCAAGCAGGUCGAAGACUGAGCGCAUGGCUCGACCGCCCUUGAUAAAGUCAGGAGCUAAGGUUAAUGUUUCAGCUGCGCCAUUGGCAGAAACCAUAAGGACCAUGAAAACUCGAAUUGUCUUUGAGAAAUCUGAAAUCCCAUGCUUCACCAGCCAAGAUGCAUACCAAAGACCAAGAGCAUAGGAAGCAUAGAGUGAAAACUGGGCUAUUCCAAAUCCACUUCCAGCUAUCUGCCCCUUCCAAAAGCAGCGUCGGAGGGGAAUUUGAAGGUUGGUGUCGAAAAGACCAACUAUUUGUGACUCUGAAUUGAAGGCAGCAACAGUCCUUACAUUGGCUAUGGCCUCACCUGCCAGUUGUGUGGCUUUGGCAUGUGCAGCUUCUAAGUCCCCGGAGAAACCAGUCAUGAACAUUUUCUGUUGAAACCCAACAAAAAUGGUGACAAAAAAAUGAUUCAUUUUUGGUGAUAUUAGGACAAAAGUUUCAAAUGGCAAGGAAAAUAAGAACUGUUGCUCAUAAUUAUUGACUCCAUUCAAUUUUCUCAAAAUUUCCCUCUUAAAAUAUAUUCCAUUUGUCCCACUCAAAUAAUCUAUUGAAUUCAAUGCACAUUUUAAUUAACGGUUCACCACUAGCUUCUAAUAAUUUGACCAUUUGUUUCCAAACAUGGUAAAAUUGAUGUUGAUGAACAAAUUAGAGAAACAAACCUGUAGAACAGUGGCUGCAACAACCAAGGGGAAGACAGAGAUAAGGACAAGGGCUAGGCGCCACUGCAAAACAAACCCUGCGGUGCAAGCAACUAGCAUCAAGGCUGUAUUCUGUACAAUCACUGAAAUCCUGUCUCCAAUGGCUGAUCUGACAUUGUUUGCAUCGAGAGCUAAUCUUGCUGCAAUCCUAGCACUCUCAUUUUCCUCCUGAUCAAACCAUGCCAUUUCAUUUUUUAGUACUGCUGACAGCAUUUUCUCCCUCACUCGUUUUGUAAGAUUCUCUCCUACAAUGUCCCAGAAGAAAUGCUGCAAUGUGUUGAAGAUUAGUGCAGCUGAUGAGAGCCCAAUCAACAAAUAGCAGUACUUUCCAAUUUCUCGGCUCAUAUAAGCAUGGUUUUGAUUAUAGUAGACACUGAGGACAGCACUGAGGACAUAGGCAAAGAAGGCACUCAGGGAGCCACAAAUAACUGAGCCUACAGAACCAACUAGUGCGUAAACCCAUUCAGGAGAAUUCAUCUUUGCAAGGCGCCAGAAUGAACUCGCUUGCUCUUUGAAAGCAAGCUUUUCGAGUCGGUAAUUGGAAUGUGUGGCAUCAAGGGAGAGACUAAAAUCUGAGGUAGAGAAGUCAGAUAGCCUGCGUGAGUAUGGUGAUCGACCAUAAGAAGAAUUACGUGCAAUUAUUGGUGAGCUCACAGAGUUCCUGGCACUUGAGGGCCUUGCGCUACUCUUUCUGGCAUUGUUCAUAGCUGUUUCAUGAGCCAUUUCCUGCAUUCUGAUGAGCUUGGCAUAAACACCAUUCUCUCCUUUGGCAAUAAGCUCAUCAUGGGUUCCGAUUUCAGUGACACUACCCUGCUGGAGAACAGCUACAAGAUCAGCCUUGCGAAUGGUGGAGAGCCUGUGAGCAAUGACAAGAGUUGUCCUCCCAAUCAUGAAUCUGUCAAGGGCCUCCUGCACCAGUUUUUCUGAUUCAGAGUCCAAAGCACUAGUUGCCUCAUCUAAAAGCAGAAUAGCAGGGUUUUUCAGCAUUGCCCUUGCUAUAGCUAUUCUCUGCUUCUGUCCUCCAGACAACUGCAGUCCUCUCUCACCUACCUGAGUAUCAAAGCCUUCAGGUAGCUUGACAAUAAAUGAAUGUGCAUUGGCAACUCUGGCAGCUUCUUCGAUUUCGAUUUGAUCUGCAUCAGGUCUACCCAACAGUAUAUUUUCUUUAAUGGUGGUGGCAAACAGGGCAGGCUCUUGGCUAACAAGUCCUAUUUGUUGUCUCAACCAUCUCAAUUUUAAUGUCUUGAUGUCAUGCCCAUCUAGCAGAACUUGCCCUGAGUUGGGAUCAUAGAAUCUCUCAAUGAGGGAGACCACAGUGCUUUUGCCAGAGCCGCUGCUGCCAACCAGAGCUAUGGUCUUGCCGGCAGAAACAUUGAGGGUAAAAUUGUUUAGAAUCCGCACGUCUGGCCUAGAUGGGUAGGAGAAAUCUACAUUUUUGAGCUCUACUAGCCCUGUAACCGAGUCUAACUCUAACCCAGAUUCACUGUUUCGAUCAACAGCAGGCUUAUGAUCAAUUAUACGAAAAAUUUUUGUAGCAGCAACUUUUGCUUUCGCAAAUGCACCCAUACUAGGGGCAGAUUGGCCUAAAGCCAAUCCUCCAAUCAUGACAGCGAACAUGGUGGCUAUUGCUAGUCCUCCAUUGGUGUAGUGAUGCCUAACAAGAUAACCUCCAUACCAUAGAAGCAGAGCAUAGCAGCAGAAAACAACAAAGUAGGUUGCACCUAAUCCCAUUCCCUUAGCAAAUCCACUCUUGUAACCGACUCUUUGAGCCACUUUCAAUGCUGACGAAUAGCCUUGCAAUGCUCUUGAUUCUCCAACAAAUGCCAAAACAACCCGAAUUUGGACUAUCGUCUGUUCUACAAUGUUUCCUGCCUGUGAUAGAGCUUCUUGGCUCUUCCCAGAUAACUUAGCUAACGUGUUGGUGUGGAUUGCUGCAAUUACAGCAAUAAGAGGAACCACUGCUAGAGUGACCAGUGCUAAUUGCCACACAGCAGUGAAACCCACCACAAAUCCAGACACAAAUGUUGCCAUGUAGUGAAGGAAAUUGCCCAGCUUCUCACUAAUGGCAUCUUGGACCAUCACCGCAUCGGUGUUAAUGGCAAAAACGACGUCCGAGGUGCGAACCUCGGUGUCAAAGUACUGAAUGUCCUGGUUUAGAGCUGCUUCUAAGUACUUGAUCCUCAUCCUAGUUGUUUGCCUCUCUCCAGUCCACAUCCAACAUGAUAUCUCUGCCCAGGAAGACGCCCAGAUUGCAGCACCAACAAUAAGAAAGUAAAAUGCGUACUUCAAAACUUCUUGCAUCAUCUUAUCCAUGUCAUUAGCAUGAGACCCAAAAGAGUUAACAAGAUCGGCGAAGAAACGGAGAAAGAGAGGCAAAGAAGAGCCAUGUACAAGUGCACCAAUAGACCCAAUAGCCAUCAACACAUAAUCCAACCCAUCAGCAAAUCUGAACAGCUCUCCAAACCCAACAGUAGCAACAUCCCCUGACUUCUCUCCAUUACCACUUGGACUACUACUACUACCAGCACCACUACCAUCUUUCUUUGGGGUAGUGUUAUCCAUUUCUCUUCUCUCUAGUACAGUCUCUUGAUGGUUUUCCUCUUGUUGUUGGUGUUCUUUGGAGUUGAUUGUUAGAGUUGGAGUUGGAGGAGCGGAAGCAGUGUUGUUUAUAAAGGGGUCAUGAGCAGGAGGCACGAGUUCGAGGCCUUGCAUUUCGGACCAUUUCCACUGCUCAAUCGUCUUUAUCUCCUGAGACUCUUGUGACAUUUGCAAAAAUUCUCUCUCUUUACUCUUUCGCUUAGCUUAUUUUAGCUUUAUUGAAACAACAAACCCACCACCCACCCUCCCUUACCUCUUCUUUAUUAUCUCACUUCUCUAUCCCACCUGGCUUUUGAGCUCAUGUUCUUUUCCUCCCCCCUCUCUCUCUCUUUUUAAUCCCUUUCUUGGGUUUUUCUUUUUCCCCUUCUUUUUCAAGUUUUUACUCUCCACAUACAGUAUUAUCUAAUCAAACAAUUCUCUUUCUUUCUUUCGUUCUUUCUUUCUUUAUAUGUACACGUUCAUUUCAAUAGCUUACAAUUUCUUUUUUUGGUUGAAUUGUGUGUUGCCUAUCGCUUGUGGGAUUAAUUUGGUUUUUGUUACUGUAGAAUAAACUUUUUUAUAAAAUUAUUUUUUGGGGUUGCGUAAUUUGUUAUGUUCUUUUUCUUAGAGUUGGGUUAGGAAUUGGUAACCGUUAAUAUUUGGUAUUUUGAAUUUAUUGUGAUUAGGGUUUUUGUGCAAAUUCGUUAUUCUGGCAGUAAUUUUGUUUUUAGGGUUUUUUUGACAUGUUCUAUUACCUUGUUGGAGGCGAUAGUUGUUUUAAUUAGGGUUAUUCUUUGCAAUUUUACUUUUUUCCCUCUCUGCAAAACUUAGGAUUUUGCUAAAUUAUUUUAAGUUAGUCAUGAAUUCCAUAUGGUAAAUACAAUUCCCAUUUUCCUUCUCUGCAAAAUUUUGGCUUUGGCUAAACUAUUUUAGGUUACUUAUGUAUUUCAUAUGCUAAAUAUGAUUUCCAUUAGUUUUUCAGCAUUGGGAUAAGGUUUCCUUUCUGCAUCUUUCAUUUUCAGAAAAGCUAUUUGCUUGCAAUAAAAGGGAGGUUUUUCAAUUUUGUGCCUACAUUCUGAUGGUUGAACCACUAAAUUGUUUGAAAGUUCUCACCAUUAUUGGAUUUCUUGUGAAGUCAGCUUGCACUUUUAAUUAAGAUGCUUAAUGUUUUACUCUUGUAUUUGCCACACAAGCAGAGCUUUCAACAAGAUUAAAGUGAAGAAACAUUUUGUAAUUGUGUAGAAUAACAAAAUUUUGAAACAAGAUGAUAAAUUGAACUUCUACAAUUCAAACCAUAAUAGGUCAUUAAUAUUGUUCAUAAGAGAGACAUGUAAGAAGGAGAUAUUUCCUUCUAUUUUCAUGUGGUGUCUAAUGGACUCUAGAAGAGAUUGAGUUUCCUACUUUCCGUUACAUAAAAUCAAACUAACUGUUUACUUAUCUUCUUAUUGUCUUCAACAGUUUUAGUCCCAGGCUAUAACUUUUGUAAUUUUUCUGGUGUAUUUAAGUUCCAUUUAUUUUUCACUUAAUUUAAGGUUU